rnacentral:snoRNA from 1 species
AAGACUAUGCCUUCAGGGAUUAUUUCUAGAGUUCAUUUCUCUGACCUUGUAGAGUCCCAGAAACCAUGAAGAAAAGCCCAGAGUUCCCUCUUGAGGGUGAAGGCAGCUUUACUACAACUGCCUUUUGCCAUUGAUGACUGUUUCUUUCCACUCCCCUUUUUUUGGAGGGUGAUGUGGGGCGGGGGGAAUGCAGUCUGACAGCU